UUCUGAUCCAGCAAACAGAUAGGACUUUCUGUCUGAGGGAGAUUCCAACCCUUACAAAAGGGUUGAAAAAACUUUGGCCUACUAGGGCCCCAUAGACUAGUGGGUGACAUCAGGGGCACUUGCAAGUGUGGACCUUGACUAUACCUUGACCAAGACAUUUGGAUGUUGACAAAAAAUAAUUGACUACCUCUGCCCAAGAAGAAACAAGUAGGACCAGGAGUCAGGUCUAGUGGUCAGAGCAGCACUCCUAGUGGUUGGAGCAGGAGUCAGAGCUGGCGUCAGAAACCAGGAGCCAGGCUUAAGGUCAAAGCCAGAGUCAGGAGUCUAACCAGGGAUCAGCACUAGA